AUUGAACGCUGGCGGCAUGCCUUACACAUGCAAGUCGAACGGCAGCACGGGUGCUUGCACCUGGUGGCGAGUGGCGAACGGGUGAGUAAUACAUCGGAACAUGUCCUGUAGUGGGGGAUAGCCCGGCGAAAGCCGGAUUAAUACCGCAUACGAUCUACGGAUGAAAGCGGGGGACCUUCGGGCCUCGCGCUAUAGGGUUGGCCGAUGGCUGAUUAGCUAGUUGGUGGGGUAAAGGCCUACCAAGGCGACGAUCAGUAGCUGGUCUGAGAGGACGACCAGCCACACUGGGACUGAGACACGGCCCAGACUCCUACGGGAGGCAGCAGUGGGGAAUUUUGGACAAUGGGCGAAAGCCUGAUCCAGCAAUGCCGCGUGUGUGAAGAAGGCCUUCGGGUUGUAAAGCACUUUUGUCCGGAAAGAAAUCCUUGGCCCUAAUACGGUCGGGGAUGACGGUACCGGAAGAAUAAGCACCGGCUAACUACGUG
rnacentral:rRNA from 1 species